GAAUGAAAUUAAUUACCUUCACUUGAGAAAUUCAGGAAGAUCAUAGUUGUUAGGAUCCUCAACUUCAUUGACCCAACUAUACUUCUCCAUGAAAGGAUUGACCAAAGACUUUGGUGGAUAAUUAUCAAUACAAUCUUCCCAAACAUUUGCAUCUCCAACAUCUUUCAUCACUUCCCAUAAGCAACUAUUGCAUUUAAAUCCAGCACCAAAGCUUAUCAUAAAUACUCUAUCACCUUUCUUGAGCCUCUUUUUUGCUUCCAUGUACCCUAACACAUACCACAAGCUACUAGCAGAAGUGUUACCGAAACGAUGUAGUGUCAUCCUUGCAGGCUCAAGAUCAUAUUCACUUAAAUCUAAACUCAUUCCAAUUCCAUCAAUCACUGCUUUUCCUCCUGUGUGGAGGCAAAAAUGAUCAACUCCAGUUUUGAAAUUCAAUGGUGAUUUAGUACUUUUUGUUGCUCCACCACUAUAAGACUUAGAAGAACUAGUAGCUAUUUUAAGUUUGUUGAAAAGUAACACAAGAAGAAACCUAAGCAAUUCCCUUGUUGGCAAAAUUUUAGGUGAAAUUACCCUUAAAUUGUCAACAAAAACUUUUGUUGCUGCUUUUGGGAGAGUUUUCCCUAAAUGAAAACCAAGCCUACCCUGCUCAUCUUCCUUUUGAAUGCAACAAUUGUAAGAGUCUUCUCUUGCGCCGUGGUGCGUUCGUACUAAACACUUCAAUUUCAGUAUGCUUCUGUUUUUUAAGGAUCUUUUAUUUGUCAAAAGAAUCGAGCAACCGCCGGAACGGAAAAGACAGUUGGCUAGGAUCAUUGAUCUAUCAUUGCCAGUAUACCAAUUUGGACUAAGAGACUCUGAUGUGACCAAAAGUGCUAACUUAUUUCUCUGUGAUUUGAAAAUGUUUUUAACAAUAUCUAAUGAUAUAAGACUUGCACUACAACCCAUUCCGGUGAGAUUGUACACUUUUACGUCGUGUCUCAUUUUGUAACGGUUAAUGAUUCGCGAAGAUAAAGAAGGAAGAAUGGCGAGCAUUGAGAUGUUGACGACAAGAAUGUCGAUUUCGGAAGGGGAAAUCGCUGAUCUAGCUAGGAGUUUCGCAAUGCUGUCGUUGAAAAACUCUUCCAUCUCAGAGAUCCCGUCGUUCAGUGUUGGUGAUGAUUCGCGGCCUUCAAAGACAUUUCUUGGUGCGUAAGUUUGUUCGCCAAUUCCGGAACUUACAACGGCUUUGAGGAGAAAUUUGUACUCAUCUAGACCCAAAUUUUUUGUUCUUCUGAUUAUUUUGCCACAAAACUCUGUCCCUAGCAUUCUAUCUUGUGUUGGCUUGUAACAUUGGUAAUCUAAUAUGUAGCACUCUUGGUCCCUCUUUUGAUCGUAUAGUUUCCAUAUUAGGAAACAUAUGUACAAUGCUGGAACUACAUAAAGUAGAGAGAGGAACUCCAUUUGAGAGAGAGUGGGGUUAUAGAAUUUUGGUGGAGAGAGUUUUGAAGGAUGGGAAAGUAUUCAAGCUAGAGGAAGUGUUUUAUAAGGGGGGAGAAAAGUUGAGUGUGUGGGUGAGAACAGUUUUUGGGCAUUUAAAUGUGUUCAUAAGUGUGUUUUUGUUUUUUGAAGUAAUGUGUUUAUAAGAGUUAAUAUGUCAAUAACUCAACUCACAUAAAAAUAUUUUAAUGUUUUGGAAAACCUUUAGGUGCGGCACACCUAGAUCAUAUGCAGUAGCUGCUGCACAAGUAAAACUGUUGGAUCUGGAUAGAAGAUUCAAUUCAGCCUUUAAACUCUCAACCAAGGUAGUUAAAAUCGAGAUUUAAUGCAAAUCAUAGAAGGAAUUUAAAAUCUUAAAUCGUGCAAUCGCAACACUAAUCGUAAGAUUAUACAAAAAUCAUAAAUUUCAAUUAUAUUCAUAUAUAUCCAUAUAAAAUAGCGUAAGACAAAAAAAAUGGUAGGAUUAAGGACAAACAUAUUUAAAUUGGAAUUUUAACUAUCAUGAUGAUUGAAGGCAAACAUAAUUGCAAAAUCCUAGGAUUUUACUUUGAAGUCAUUGCUACAAAUCACACAUUGAAUAAGAUAAAUCUUUGGAUAAGUUUGAGUAGAAGACAUCUUUCACUUUCCAAAUCAAUUUUGUGUGUGUCAACUUCCCUUAGUAGGCCAAGCACUCGCUGGUAAUGAAAGUUCAUUGCCUAAUUAAUUGCUUGACCAACAAAAUUAUUGUCCAAAAUUGAAACCUAAAUUGAAAGAGUUCAAUUGACGGUGACACCUAAGGGAAGACAAUAAUUCUUCCAUGUUACACAACCAAUUAAAAAAUAAUAAAAGAAUGAAUCGUUUGGGAUAAAUCAGUUUUAUUUCUGUAACUAAUUUUAUCCAUGCUUUACUAAUUAUUCCAACUCCUGGUUACUAGUGUCCAUUUAUCACAGGAACCUGAAGGUUAAAACAGAAAAUAAAUAAAUAAAUAAAAACAAUAAAAAUGAAAUAUAAACUAUUUUUGUUUUACUACCAAUGUAAAAUUUAAACUAAAGUUAACCAAGUAUUUUGAUCCUCUAAAAUAUCUUCUUCUACAUAAAUGCUUCUUGUUUCUUCUUUCCAUGGUUUAUGGUGCUUGUUUGGGAGGUGGGUCAAGGAAUUUUCCAACUUGUGGCUAUUGUCACUUAUAAGCUUGUUUCUGCCUCCAUACAUACUUUCCUAGCUCACAUGCCUGAAUCACAUGCUCAAUCCUAUUUUGCAAGAUUCUACAUUGCUCUACAUCCUGACCUGCUGCCAGAUAGAAUUCACACCACCUUGGAUUUUACUACUUGUUCUUCCUUGGUAUGUUUUCCACCCUGAGCCUUAACUAGUCCAUAGUCCUAGGAUUCAGUAGGGUUAGUGUUUCACUAAAUGUGUUAGAUCUCAAAACUCUUUGGAAGGACAUGGCGGACAACUGUUCAUCAUGCUCCUCCACCCUUAAGAAGUCUUGGAAAUUUUGGAGGGUCUAGUCGGAAGUUGCUUUAUAUCAAACAAAUUUGAAACUUGCAACACUUUCACUAUGUUAAUUGCAAACUGAGCCAUGAACUUGGUUGUUGAAUCUUCAAAGCUGACAAUGGAUAUUGGGGGUAACCCCACAAUCUAUUUGUGAGCUACAUCCUUCUUUUUUCCUACAAACAUUUUGCAGCAUAGAGCAUUGUUUCCACUUUCCACAUUUGGGUUUGGAAGGUGGAAAUGUGAAUUUGGGGGUCACUUUGUGUCGUUGUAUGACUCGAGGGUUGGCUCGCGAAAGUGAUGAAGAAUGAAAAUAUUUUGAAUUUCUUUAGAGAAAGGUUAAAACACCUUGGGAAAUAAUUUGGUUGUCUCCACCCUCUGUGUCUAGUUAUGGAGGUUCUCCAUUUCUUGCCCCAACUCGCUCCCUCCCUAUAUCUUUCUCUCAAUGUUCUAUUUGUUUAUAGGUUUCAACUUCUUGACCCUCCAUUUAACGGAGUAGCUCCUCCUCUAGUGCCUUCACUUCAUUCUACAGAUGGUCUUCUUCCUCAUGUCUUGCCCGAUGCUCCAUGUUUUUCUCUUGCAACUCCCUCAAAGUUGCCAUGAGUCUCUCCAGUACGACAUCAUUCAUGCCUUCGCUGAAAACAUUUGGGCAUUAUUGUUUCAUAAUGUCGAUGUCAAUUCGAGUGGCUGAAGAUGUUAUUGGAGCUAGGUGGUCAUAAAGUUUUAUUGUAGCCCCACUGUGGACGCCAAUGUUCUUGUCUAGAAACACAUUCCUAGGGUUUUCCCUUGGUCAGGCAGUUUCUUAGGGUUUUAAGGUGAGAGUGCGUGUGUAUUGGCUAGUUGAAUCCUCUCGGUCUAGAUAGGGUGCAAGUCCCAGAGGCAUUGAUAAGAGCGAUGUUAGUCCCAGAGGCAUUGAUAAGAGCCAUGCGUCGGGUAAAAGUGUUGUGUAUUGGCUAGUUGAAUCCUCUCGGUCUAGAUAGGGUCUAAGUCUUUCAGUCAUUCCUCAAAGGACUUUCUAUCCUAGUUGGCUUGUUUGACCUCGAUAUGCGAGACCCCCCGUCCUUGGGCUUGGGUGCCUCGGUGCUUGAUGUCCAUCAUCAAGGUACCGAUCCUAAGGUACAAUACACCCUAGCUAUAAACUAGCUAACUAAUUAAUUCACAUCAACCUAAGUUAAAAUUGUCCUGCUCUAACUAACACAACUACCAUGUAACUUGCCUAAUACUUUUCCCAAUUUGAAGACGAUGGUAUAAAUAUUAAAGAUAUAUUGUAAGAUUUAAUUUUUGUCUACCAUUUGCUUACAUUUUAAACAAUUUUAUUAGUACAAAAACUAUCUUCAAAUUGAACUAUUUCUCUCUCUUCAAAUUGAACUAUCUAUUUCACUUGAAAAAUAGAGAAAUCCUAAUCCAAAAGAAACCAACCAGGUCCCCACAAUAUGUAUAUAUAAGAAAAAUAAAGAUGAACAAAAAGUAGACAAACUCUUUAUUGGGUAGUAAACCAUUGAUCAGGGUUUCAAUAAUAAUAAUUAUAAUAACAAGUGUAUACAUAAUAAUCAAAUUAGUUAAUGCACAAUCACCUUGAUCCUUGUCAAGAAUCUAGUGAAAAAAUUAAGAUACCCCUUCAAAUUUUCUUCUUCUCAAGUUUGCUAUUUCAUUCCACAACAAUGAAUGAAAUUAUAAUUACCUUCACUUAAGAAAUUCAGGAAGUUCAAAGUUGGUUUCAUCCUCAACUUCAUUGAGCCAACCAUACUUCUCCAUGAAAGGAUUGAUCAAAGACUCUGGUGGAUAAUCAUCAAUACAAUCUUCCCAUACAUUUGCAUCUCCAACAUCUUUCAUCACUUCCCAUAAGCAACUAUUGCAUUUAAAUCCAGCACCAAAGCUUAUCAUAAAAACUCUAUCACCUUU
rnacentral:lncRNA from 1 species